GAUGAACGCUGGCGGCGUGCCUAAUACAUGCAAGUCGAGCGAACAGACGAGGAGCUUGCUCCUCUGACGUUAGCGGCGGACGGGUGAGUAACACGUGGAUAACCUACCUAUAAGACUGGGAUAACUUCGGGAAACCGGAGCUAAUACCGGAUAAUAUAUUGAACCGCAUGGUUCAAUAGUGAAAUACGGUUUUGCUGUCACUUAUAGAUGGAUCCGCGCCGCAUUAGCUAGUUGGUAAGGUAACGGCUUACCAAGGCAACGAUGCGUAGCCGACCUGAGAGGGUGAUCGGCCACACGGGAACUGGGACACGGUCCAGACUCCUACGGGAGGCAGCAGUAGGGAAUCUUCCGCAAUGGGCGAAAGCCUGACGGAGCAACGCCGCGUGAGUGAUGAAGGUCUUCGGAUCGUAAAACUCUGUUAUUAGGGAAGAACAAAUGUGUAAGUAACUAUGCACGUCUUGACGGUACCUAAUCAGAAAGCCACGGCUAACUACGUG
rnacentral:rRNA from 1 species